AUUCUUGGGCAUUCUGAUGUGAAUAGAUUUCUGAUGAUCAGUCCUGUCCACAAGAAGUGAGCUGGCAAGCCUGCUUUUCUACAGUAAAACUAAGGAGCUGAUUGGCACCAUGAGGGUCUUCUGCGGGCGAGCCAAUCCGACUACGGGAUCCAUGGAGUGGCUGGAGGAGGAUGAGCACUAUGAUUACAAUCAGGAGAUUGCAAGAUCAUCCUAUGCUGAUAUGCUACAUGACAAAGACAGAAAUAUAAAAUAUUACCAGGGUAUCCGGGCUGCUGUGAGCAGGGUGAAGGACAGAGGACAGAAGGCCUUGGUUCUUGACAUUGGCACUGGCACUGGACUCUUGUCAAUGAUGGCGGUCACGGCAGGCGCCGACUUUUGCUAUGCCAUUGAGGUUUUCAAGCCUAUGGCUGAUGCUGCUGUGAAGAUUGUGGAGAAAAAUGGCUUCAGUGAUAAGAUUAAGGUUAUCAACAAGCAUUCCACUGAGGUGACCGUAGGGCCAGAUGGUGACAUGCCAUGCCGUGCCAACAUCCUGAUCACGGAGUUGUUUGACACAGAACUGAUUGGGGAGGGAGCACUGCCCUCCUAUGAGCAUGCACACAGUCAUCUCGUGCAGGAAAAUUGUGAAGCAGUGCCUCAUAGAGCAACUGUCUACGCACAGCUGGUAGAGUCCAGAAGGAUGUGGUCGUGGAACAAGCUGUUUCCCAUCCGUGUUCAGACCAGCCGUGGAGAGCAGGUCAUCAUCCCCCCCUUGGAACUGGAGAGGUGCCCUGGGGCACCCUCUGUUUAUGACAUUCAGUUGAACCAGGUGUUGCCCACUGACUUCACUGUCCUCAGCGACGUGCUGCCUAUGUUCAGUGUGGACUUCAGCAAGCAAGUCAGUAGCUCAGCAGCCUGUUAUAGCAGGCAGUUUGAACCUCUGGCGUCUGGCCGAGCUCAGGUGGUUCUGUCCUGGUGGGACAUUGAAAUGGACCCUGAGGGGAAGAUCAAGUGCACCAUGGCCCCCUUCUGGGCGCAGUCAGACCCAAAGGAGCUCCAGUGGCGGGACCACUGGAUGCAGUGUGUGUACUUCCUGCCACAAGAGGAGCCCGUCAUCCAGGGCUCAGCCCUCUGCCUGGUAGCCCACCACGACGACUACUGUGUUUGGUACAGCCUUCAGAGGACCAGCCCCGAAAAGAACGGGAGCAUCCACCAAGGGCGUCCCGUGUGCGACUGCCAGGCUCACCUGCUCUGGAACCGGCCUCGGUUUGGAGAGAUCAACGAUCAGGACAGAACUGAUCAAUACAUCCAGGCCCUGAGGACGGUGCUGAAGUCAGACAGUGUCUGCCUGUGUGUCAGCGACGGCAGUCUGCUCUCCAUGCUGGCCCAUCACCUUGGGGCAGAGCAGGUAUUUACAAUAGAGAGUUCAGCAGCUUCUCACAGACUGAUGAAAAAAAUUUUCAAGGCUAACCACUUGGAAGAUAAAAUUAAUAUAAUAGAGAAACGGCCUGAAUUAUUAACAUCUGCAGACUUGGAGGGUAAAAAGCCAAAUCCUUUUGACGCCUUGGUCCUGCUUCUUGCUCUGGUCGCCAGGUCUCUCUCCUCCUGGGGGAGCCGUUCUUCACCACUAGCCUGCUGCCAUGGCACAACCUGUUCUUCUGGUACGUGCGGACCGCCGUGGACCAGCACCUGGGGCCUGGCGCCGUGGUGUUGCCCCAGGCUGCCUCGCUGCAUGCUGUGGUCGUGGAGUUCAGGAUGGGUAUCAGUGAAGGCUGUACCUUCCUCACAGGACCUGUGGCGGAUCCGGAGCCCCUGUGGUGACUGUGAAGGCUUUGAUGUGCACAUCAUGGAUGACAUGAUUAAGCGUGCCCUGGACUUCAAGGAGAGCAAGGAAGCCGAGCCCCACCCGCUGUGGGAGUACCCGUGCCACAGCCUCUCCGAGCCCUGGCAGAUCCUGACCUUUGAUUUUCGGCAGCCAGUCCCCCCACAGCCUGUCCGUGCUGAGGGCUCCAUCGAGCUGAGGAGCUGCAGAGAAACGUGAAUUUGGUUGCUAUGGUUACCCAUUGGACUAUUUUCCUGAACUCUCCUGAGAAUCAAAGCAGGUUUGGAAUUGGCAAGAGUUGCUCAUUGUGAGGCACGGUCAGGCCCAUCCACCUCCAGCUUUCUUCCCAGGGAGGAGCUGCUUCUUCCCAGAGGAAGAACUUUCUUCUAACUGGGUGGAGGCCAUGAGCCCAGAACCCCUCGGGGCUCUUUGACAAGGGGGAGGCAGGGCGGAUACCCAUCUGGGCCUGCCAUCCAGGGUAUCUGGUAGGGUUCUUCCAGCCUUUGUUGCCAGGGCUGUGCUCUGAGCCUUCUUGGACCAAGCCUUUCAUGACCUCAGGCCGAGGAGGCUGGUCCUGCUCCACAGUUAUUCUGAGUGCUUGGCCAGGCCGUGAGGAGUGAGUAGGGGCCCUGGGUUGUGACUCUUCUUCCUCAGUAUUUUACUGAGUAGCCUUUAGUCAGGGGGAGUGUUGGGAGCUUGUUGACUGGGCAGGAUGGAAGUGGGGAAGACCAGAGGUUUCUGGAAAGCAGAAGGGAGCCAUGGGUGUGCCCACUCAUCUCUCAUAUGGCUGUUUCUGUUUGGCCCAACAUCCUGCCCCACCCUCCCAGGCCUGGUAGGAGCCAUGGGGUCGUCCUGUGGAUGGAAUACCACUUGACUCAGGACAGCACGGUCAGCACUGGCCUCCUGAAGCCUGCAGAGAACAAGGAGGACUGUUGCUGGAACCCCCACUGCAAGCAGGCUGUGUACUUCUUCAGCUCCACACUGGACCCUAGAGCACCGCUGGGCGGCUCUCGAACAGUCAGCUACGCUGUGGAGUUCCACCCCGACACUGGAGACAUCACCAUGGAUUUCACGCUCUCAGA